CCUUUCUCGUCCACCUCCCACCCUCUCACAGCAAGAACUCGAAACCCUAAUUCAUAUCAUUCCGUUCUAUCUUACAUCUUCUACCAUUUCUGCAAUAAAACGAAAAUGAAUCUGAUCGAAUUGGAAAAAUUAAUGUUUUUCAACUUCUACAUAUAUUUAUUCUUAACAACAGUCUUUUAUAGAAGAAUAAGAACCGCAGAAACCCGAACAGGAGAAACCCUAAAUUCAUCAGCAAGAAGAAAAGAAUCUGUAGCCUCUAUUUUCCAACAAAAAUUGGUUCUUCUUCGUUUUUCUUGGCUGUUGUGAAGGUUAUAUAUGAAUCUGGAGAAGAGGAGCAUAGAUUUGCUGAGGAAUGGAUAGUAUUAAAUCUGAAGAAGAGGAGGUUAUUGAUGUUGUAUUCGUUAAGCAGAAGAAGAGGAGGUUAUUCAUGUGUUUGUAAUCUUAGUGUUAUUGAUGCUGUAUUUCUUGAGCUUAUUAGGGAUAUCUCUGCUGCGAAAUUGGUUCAUUGAUAUUCCGUAGUGGCGAAGUUUUAAUUUACAGUAUCAAGAUGGUGAAGUUUACAGCUGAAGAGCUUAGUUGGAUCAUGGACCUAUAGUGUAAUGUCAGGAACACGUCCCUCUGUGCCCAUUUGGACCAUGAAAUCGUUGAAGAUUCAGAACAAGAAAACAACGAGAAAUGGUACAAUUGUCUAAAAAGGGGGUUGGAAACGAUCUGCAAAAUUAUAUGAAAGGGAUCGUGGAGCUCACAAGAGGAUGCUAUACAACAGAUGUUUUGUUAUUGCUGGUAACAUUUCUUUACCAAUGAUUCGUUUAAUUGUUAACAGAUGGGGAUUAUUUACAAAUCAUGAGGACAGGUACCAAGAGUGAGGGGAAGGUCCUGAAAAGCACAUGCUGAUUGGGUUGACUUUACCAUUGUUUUUAACAAGAUUAUGGUCUUUCUAAUUGUAAAGAAUAGUCAGGAAUCAACUAAAUUAGCAAGAGGUGGUUGAAAAGGUGCAUCUUUGGAAGACUACCUGUGAAAACAAUCGAAGUUCUUGGGUAUUUCAUCAGUUAGCAUCAAUGAGCAGACAAGGAGAAUAUAAUGAGAACUUCAAAUGAGUUCUUAUUACAUUACAGGUUAGUGAACUAUAAUGGAAUUGGAUUCCUCCAAAUGGUUUAGUUACUUUUCGUUUUUUUUUUUUGUCUCCUCGUAUAUCAGAACCUUGUACCUGAAUGGUGCAAUGAACAUCUCGGAGAACACAAGGAGGUAAAAAUACUGGAAAUGGUUGUGCUGCUCGCCUGGGUAUGAUCCACAAUGAAAUAGCCAAUAUCCUUUACUUUACUCAUACCCCAUUCUGAUUUCAAAAGUAAGACUUUAUGCUGGUAUGAUGCUUGUGAUUGAAAGCAUAUAAGUUUUUUUGAUCUGUAAAAUAUAAAGUUUCAUACUAAUAGAUGAGCUCACUUGUAAUCUUUACCGCUAUUUCACUAGAACAUGACGGAAAACCUCCAAAUUGUUAGAAAAAGACAAAUUCUUUUUAUAGUUUCUAUUUUGUAGAAAAUACGAUAAUUGAUCUACACUGCUAAAUCUUGUUGUCGAAUACAAUUUGUUGUGAUAUAAUCUCAUAGAACUAUUGCAUGGAGUUAACUGUCACUGAAAGCACAUAAGUUUCUUUGAUAUCUAUCUGUGUGUGUUGACCUUAAUUCUGUAUAAUUCUAAUAGUGCAAUAACACAACAAAUGUUAUUUCUUUAUCUGUGACUGUGAUCUGGCUUGUAAAUAAGCUCAUAUAGAUUCUUAUAGAAUAGCAUAAUCCUAGAGCUCUUAUACUCUAGCUUCCCUACCUAUCAUUAUUUUUGUUACCCGAGGAACAAAUUUGUUUAAACAUCCAAGUCUUCUACUCUCCUUGUAAAUUUACUUCCCUGUAUAUUAUGUGUUGGGAUUUGAUUAACUAAGUUAUUUCCUAGGAGUUUCUCUUAGGAAGAUUAUUAAGACUAAUAAUCUUAUUGUUCAUUAUCUAAUUCAGAUCGGUUGCUUACACUUUUUAUUAUCCUGGUGGGAAGGCACAAGAGAUGACUUUAUGAUUAGUGGGGGAAAAUAUUUGUCAACUUAUAUAACAAGUGGUGGAACAUAUUACGCAUUUGAAGCUCCAAGCUUGAUGGGAUUUAUUGAAGAUGACGUUUUGUCCAAAGGGACAACAUCUUCUGUUAUUGAUAUGAAAUCGUUGUUGGAAUGAGGCAAACAAUUGGUGGUGACUUACAUGGCUGAGCGAACAAGGCGACUGACACCUGUUAUGCAUUUUGGAUUGGUGGCAUACUUAGUCUUGGCCCUCUUGGGGGUUCAGAACUUCCAUGACAGUGCAGUCGUAUGAGAAAUUAUGCUUACCCGUGAAUCCUAGUUCAAAGACUUCAGAAAUCAUUAUGCUUUGGAGUUUUUCGAUCGUGAUAUACAGGGAUUUUUUACGCCUCGACUUGAGCUGACUAUGUAUUUUUAUUUCUUGGUUCUAGAGAGCAAACUCGUAGAUAAAGAAACCUUGAUGGUUUGUAUUUGACUUUUGAUGUAGAAGAAAGCUCCAAUUCAAGCGACUCAAAGAAAUUUGGCUUUGUAAACUCCAGGUACUUGAAUAACAACCACUUUAUGGAACACAGAUCGCAUUGGAUGUGUAUAGUUUGUUAGAAUUGUUUUUGGGUAGAUUUCAUAAUGAAUAGAAGGAUUCCUUUGUAUUUGUGUUUCCAUAGUGAAUGUAUGGAUGGCAGAAUCCGGAUAGUUUGCAGAGGAUAUGUAUAGUUUGCUUAUUGAAAGUAAGAAAAUUCAAUUGUGUUUCAGAUUUAUUGUAUUUCAGGUCUAAAAACUGAAAGUCCAGGUCCAGGAUAGUUUGCUGAGAAUAUGUAUUGUUUGCUUAUUGAAAUAAGAAAAUUCAAUUGUGUUUCAGUUUA